rnacentral:lncRNA from 1 species
UUGGUUUAUGGUUGUGAAGAAAGCUGGAACCAAGCCUGGCUCUAGGUUGUUGAAUCGGGCCCGACUGGCGAUGCCUAGAUUAAUCUAUACUCCUUCUCUUUUAAUUCUUAUCUUAAAAUUAAAUUGCCCAAAAAUGAAUGUACUUAUUUCUAAAAAAGUCUGAAUACAUGUAAUAUUUCGACAAGAAUGCAAAUAGAAGAAUGCACUCAUCACCAAGUUAAUGGGGACCGACAGAUAUCUCUAAGUUUUGUCUUAUCGCUACUUUUAUGCCACCAGCUUUUUACUCAAAAAAAUAUCAUAUGUAGACGAGGGAGAUGAUAUUUGUGUAUUUCCGGUGGGGAAUCUUCUCUCUUGUUACUAUCAUCCUUUUGGUCACAGUAUGACUAGGCCACAGGGCAAAGAGUGGCAGGGGUCUGCUCAAUGAGAAAGAAAAACAAAGAAACAAAAAAGAGGAAACGGACAACUGUAAUGCUGCAUGAGGCCUUUGUCCAAGUGUGUGGCAUGGCAGGCCCAGCAGAUGCAGGCCCACAGCACGGCUGGUCCCGUGGACAGCGACGGACACGAACAGGGCGC